GCAGGAUAGUCUAGUGGGUUAAGGGUGUUUGAUUCUGAGCCAAAAGCUACUGGGUUCGAUCCCCAGUGUCCGCA